AGUAAGAUGCCUGAAAAGUAAGGAUUAUUUUGAUGUGAUAAGAAUGUGUAUUUACACUCUUGCUA
rnacentral:tRNA from 1 species